GACGAACGCUGGCGGCGUGCUUAACACAUGCAAGUCGAACGGUGAACUCCGCUUGCGGGGGGAUCAGUGGCGAACGGGUGAGUAACACGUGGGCAACCUGCCCUCAGCUCUGGGAUAACUCCAAGAAAUUGGGGCUAAUACCGGAUAUGACCGCUGACCGCAUGGUCUGGUGGUGGAAAGAUUUAUCGGCUGGGGAUGGGCCCGCGGCCUAUCAGCUUGUUGGUGGGGUAGUGGCCUACCAAGGCGACGACGGGUAGCCGGCCUGAGAGGGUGACCGGCCACACUGGGACUGAGACACGGCCCAGACUCCUACGGGGGCAGCAGUGGGGAAUAUUGCGCAAUGGGCGAAAGCCUGACGCAGCGACGCCGCGUGGGGGAUGACGGCCUUCGGGUUGUAAACCUCUUUCAGCAGGGACGAAGCGAAAGUGACGGUACCUGCAGAAGAAGCACCGGCCAACUACGUG
rnacentral:rRNA from 1 species